rnacentral:rRNA from 1 species
ACGAACGCUGGCGGCAUGCCUAACACAUGCCAGUCGAACGAGAUCUUCGGGUCUAGUGGCGCACGGGUGCGUAACGCGUGGGAACCUGCCCUUAGGUUCGGAAUAACUCCCCGAAAGGGGUGCUAAUACCGGAUAAUGUCUUCGGACCAAAGAUUUAUCGCCUUUGGAUGGGCCCGCGUUGGAUUAGCUAGUUGGUAGGGUAAAAGCCUACCAAGGCGACGAUCCAUAGCUGGUCUGAGAGGAUGAUCAGCCACACUGGGACUGAGACACGGCCCAGACUCCUACGGGAGGCAGCAGUGGGGAAUAUUGGACAAUGGGCGAAAGCCUGAUCCAGCAAUGCCGCGUGAGUGAUGAAGGCCUUAGGGUUGUAAAGCUCUUUUACCCGGGAUGAUAAUGACAGUACCGGGAGAAUAAGCGCCGGCUAACUCCGUG